CACCCUCUUAUAGUGCCUGACUAACAAAAAUGUUCUAGCAUUUUUACAUGUAGAAUCGGUUUCCCCGUCAGCUACAGACAUUUCUACUCUGAGCCAAUGCGAGAAGAUCAACGAGAGGAGGAAAAUGGGUAACUUUCCAGUGUGCCAUAUUUAAAUAGCUAGGGCAGCUCUGGCUUCAGGAGGACACAGGGGACCAUUUCUCUGCAAGAUGGACAAGUAGCUACAAGUGGAAGAAGUGGAUGGAAGAUUCUCAGGACACAGUACACCUAGGCCAGGAAGGAGGCACCCUCAGGUAGUGCUGGUGGAAGGGCUAUAGGAAGACACAUCUCCAUCCUUCAGCACUUUCUGGAGCCCCAUACUGCAUAAUGGAUGAGGCCCAUCCAGCAACAGGCGGUACAGCCUGCAUUUCCCCCCUCAUAUGAAGCCAAACACCAGUCAGCAAAACCACAAUAACUCGUGGGUUGGGAUGGCUCCUUGUACAAGCACCCGAAGGCACAAUGACGAGGAGGAAGAUUAGUUUGGGAAGGUAGAGGACCAUGACUCUCUCAGCACCAUUUAGAAGGCCCUGGAUAAAUUCUGCCAUGCUGAUGAGGAUGGUUCCUUUUGGCUGAUCCCUGGAGUGAAGAACACAAAGCCUUUUACCAACAGCUGGUGGAUGAGAUUGGGGCACACUGCCAGAUGAUGCACCAACAACAGUAGCUAGUGAACCAGCAGCUGCCCCUAUCUCCAUGUAAUGAAAUCACCAUCAAUAUUGCACAGACCAUUUUGUUUUCUUCAUCUUAUUGCAUGUUUAUAUACACGUUCCCUUUGUUUCAUUACAAGGGGUUAUGCUUUUUUUUCAUUAUUUGGGGUUAUUCUUAACUUUUUUAGUUGUACA
ensembl:lncRNA